rnacentral:rRNA from 1 species
CCCUUAGAUGUUCUGGGCUGCACGCGUGCUACACUGAGUGGAUCAGCGGGUCAGGUUGCGCGAAAGUGUUUCCUAAUCUUGAAAUCCGCUCGUGAUGGGGAUUGACGGUUGCAAUUUUCCGUCAUGAACGAGGAAUACCUUGUAAGCGCGGGUCAUCAUCCCGCGCUGAAUACGUCCCUGCCCUUUGUACACACCGCCCGUCGCUCCUACCGAUUGAGUGGUCCGGUGAGGCUUUGGGAUCUGAGCAAAGAGAGCGUUUCGCUCGUUUUGCCCGGAAAACUCAGUCGAACCUUAUCAUUUAGAGGAAGGAGAAGUCGUAACA